CGACGCCAUUUUUGGUGCACAGUCACAAAUCCACUCUAAAGUCUGUUUUGAAUUCUCUGGCACGUUACUGCCUCAUUUUAUCAUCAUGUUUGCGAAUGUGGCCAGUGUUUAUCACCAAGACUUGAUCCAGCAGAAGAAACGUCACAACAGCCCUCGGGUAGCGUCACUGAGGGCCGGGCUACCUACCUGAGAGUACAGAUAUCGGCGCUGUUACUUUGAGGCAACAUCUACCUCGUCACAAUGGACAGCGUCAUUUAAUUACAGGUGUGACACGCAAGGUGAUGGCUGCUCCUCUACCUAACAUUUAGUUGAUAUAUCAAGCUGAUGUAUUGUGUACAUACAGAGUGAUCCCAUAGUUAUUGUAUGCUUUGUGGGACAUUCGUAUAUUCCAUUUCAGUUUUAUAACUAAGUUUUCUCACCAUAGCUUAGUAUUUGCAGGAUUGAACAAGUCAAAAUAAAAAAAUACAGUUGAAUAUCAAGUCUGAUUUUGGUGAGACCGAGGGAGCGGCCGAGUAGCCUAGUGGUUAAAGCGUUCGCUCUACACGCCAAAGGCCCGGGUUCGAUUCACAUGGGCACAAUGUGUGAAGCCCAUUUCUGAUGUCCCCCCGCCGUGAUAUUGCUGGAAUAUUGCUAAAAGCGGCGUGAAACCUCACUCAUCCACUCCGUGGGACCGAAAGUUUAGUCCCUUUUGGUACGUGGUUAGCAUCCCCUGAUAUAAUCUUUUAAACAUGCAACACCAAAAGCGAUACUUAUUUCAAAUUAUACAAGUAUCAGUCCUCUGUACAUGAAAUGUUCACAAAUUUAUUGAAAGAAGUAUCAUUACAAAAUGUCAUUAAAAAUCAAUCCAUUCCUUUUUAACUUGUGGGUUUUUUCAAAGUUAAAGCAAUACCCCAUUAUAUACAGCAGCUUUUUGAAGUGUGGAAAGUUCAUCUUGAUCAGAUUACAUGACACACUGUUCCUUUGUCAACACAGCCUCAGCCUGGUGUCCAGAAUUAAGAAAGUCCGGAUUAGACAGGUUUUACUUUAUUAUGUAAUUAAUUAAUCAAUUAAUUAAUAUAAAUUCAGGCCGUAAAUGUGGUCUGGCUUUUAUUGAGUGAGUGAGUGAGUGAGUGAGUGAGUAUGGUUUUACGCCGCUUUUAGCAAUAUUCCAGCAAUAUCAGAAAUGGGCUUCACACCUUGUACCCAUGCAUGUCGGCAAUCAAACCCGGUCUUCGGCGUGAUGAGCGAAUGCUUUAACCACUAGGCUACCUGACUGCCCUGGUCCGGCUUUGACAGAGAUCUGUAUCAGUGAAAGUCAGGUUUGACACAUUCAGAAAUAUGUGAAUUUUUUUAUCAAUGUUUCAUGUUGAUUCAGGUAAUAGGUAAAAAGGAAAAUUGAAUAUUGCUGUUGCCCAUGUAUAAAAUCAAAUAAAAAUUUCAAGACACCAUUGCUUGGAUCAACCAUGGCUAGUUUAAGCCCUGUAGGCCAUAUGGUUUCAGAGUAGUAGUUGAAAAUGUAAAAAACAAUAACGUUGGUUGAGGUGAAAUGGCGUUU